GCCUGGGUGGCUCAGUUGGCUGAGCAUCUGACUUUGACUCAGGUCAUGAUCUCGAGGUUCGUAAGUUCAAGCCCAACAUCAGGCU
rnacentral:tRNA from 1 species